rnacentral:lncRNA from 1 species
CUGAGUUCUCCAUCUCGUACAAGCCCGUAAAGCACGGUAGGCCCGGUAUUGGAGCUACCCACUCUUCGCGAUUUAUCCCACUCAAAUAGACAAUCGGUACUUCGAGCGGCAGAUUACUGAUGUGCGAUUUCUAUAAUUCAAGAGCAUCUUACUUUUAAUGCACAGAUGUUUCCUCAUGUAUGAAUUCCUGGAUCGCAACCUUCGAGAUUUGAUUCAAGAUAAAAAAAUAAGUCUUACACACAGAAUGACUAUACAGAAUCAUCGCAAGUUUUGCUGCAAUCAAUUUAUCACCCUUAUUAUGGAAUUCCAUUUAUCUUAAUAUUUCUUGCUAAUACUAUGUACAAGAAUAAAACCGAAGAUACUUAAAACUAAACAAUUGGUUUAAAUCAAUGUUAUUUAGGUGGAAGAUAGACACUACUCGAAUUGUAUUGGUUUUAACAAUU